UCCGGUUUAUCACCGGCAGUAUCAUUAGAGUGCCCAACUGAAGGAUGGCAACUAAUGACAAGGGUUGCGCUCGUUGCGUCACUUAAGACAACAUCUCACGACACGAGCUGACGACAGCCAUGCAGCACCUGUGUCCAAGUUCCCGAAGGCACUGCCACAUCUCUGUAGCAUUCUUGGCAUGUCAAGAGCAGGUAAGGUUUUUCGCGUUGCAUCGAAUUAAUCCGCAUCAUCCACCGCUUGUGCGGGUCCCCGUCAAUUCCUUUGAGUUUUAAUCUUGCGACCGUACUCCCCAGGCGGUCUACUUCUCGCGUUAGCUUCGCUACUUAGGUUUUACCCCCAACAGCAAGUAGACAUCGUUUAGGGCGUGGACUAC
rnacentral:misc_RNA from 1 species